GCCGGGUGUGGUGGCGAACGCCUGUAAUCCCAGCUACUUGGGAGGCUGAGGUGGGAGAAUCGCUUGAACCUGGGAGGCGGAGGUUGCAGUGAGCUGAGAUCACGCCACCGCACUCCAGCCUGGGUGACACAGUGAGACUCCAUCUCAA
ensembl:misc_RNA Metazoa_SRP Metazoan signal recognition particle RNA